GCCAGUGUGGCAUAGUGGUUUGAGCAUUGGACUACAACUCUAGAGACCAGGGUUCGAUUCCCAGCUCAGCUA